rnacentral:rRNA from 1 species
AUUGAACGCUGGCGGCAGGCUUAACACAUGCAAGUCGAACGAGUGGCGGACGGGUGAGUAAUGUCUGGGAAACUGCCUGAUGGAGGGGGAUAACUACUGGAAACGGUAGCUAAUACCGCAUACCAUCAGAUGUGCCCAGAUGGGAUUAGCUAGUUGGUGGGGUAACGGCUCACCAAGCCGACGAUCCCUAGCUGGUCUGAGAGGAUGACCAGCCACACUGGGACUGAGACACGGCCCAGACUCCUACGGGAGGCAGCAGUGGGGAAUAUUGCACAAUGGGCGCAAGCCUGAUGCAGCCAUGCCGCGUGUAUGAAGAAGGCCUUCGGGUUGUAAAGCUCUUUCAGUGGGGAGGCGUUACUCGCAGAAGAAGCACCGGCUAACUCCGUGCCAGCCGCCGCGGUAAUAC